rnacentral:rRNA from 1 species
AACGAACGCUGGCGGCAUGCCUAACACAUGCAAGUCGAACGAGACCUUCGGGUCUAGUGGCGCACGGGGGCGUAACGCGUGGGAACCUGCCCUUAGGUUCGGAAUAACUCACAGAAAUAUGAGCUAAUACCGGAUGAUGUCUUCGGACCAAAGAUUUAUCGCCUUUGGAUGGGCCCGCGUUGGAUUAGCUAGUUGGUGGGGUAAAGGCCUACCAAGGCGACGAUCCAUAGCUGGUCUGGGAGGAUGAUCAGCCACACUUGGACUGAGACACGGACCAGACUCCUACGGGAGGCAGCAGUGGGGAAUAUUGGACAAGGGGCGAAAGCGUGAUACAGCAAGGCCGCGGGAGUGAUGAAGGCCUUAGGGUUGUAAAGCUCUUUUACCCGAGAUGAUAAUGACAGUAACGGGAGAAGAAGCUCCGGCUAACUCCGUG